rnacentral:rRNA from 1 species
GAGUUUGAUCCUGGCUCAGGACGAACGCUGGCGGCGUGCUUAACACAUGCAAGUCGAACGGGAAACCUUUUAUUGAAGCUUCGGCAGAUUUAGCUGGUUUCUAGUGGCGGACGGGUGAGUAACGCGUGGGUAACCUGCCUUGUACAGGGGGAUAACAGUUGGAAACGGCUGCUAAUACCGCAUAAGCGCACAGCAUCGCAUGAUGCAGUGUGAAAAACUCCGGUGGUAUAAGAUGGACCCGCGUUGGAUUAGCUAGUUGGUGAGGUAACGGCCCACCAAGGCGACGAUCGGUAGCCGGACUGAGAGGUUGAACGGCCACAUUGGGACUGAGACACGGCCCAGACUCCUACGGGAGGCAGCAGUGGGGAAUAUUGCACAAUGGGGGAAACCCUGAUGCAGCAACGCCGCGUGAGUGAAGAAGUAUUUCGGUACGUAAAGCUCUAUCAGCAGGAAAGAAAAUGACGGUACCUGACUAAGAAGCCCCGGCUAACUACGUGCCAGCAGCCGCGGUAAUAC